CAUGACAGUACUAAUACCCAGGGAAACUGGUCAUCAGGCGAACUGCGGCGUUCUGCUGGCAAAACAUAGCUUCGGUUAUGUCAAUGGCUAUUGGAUUGGUCCAUGAAGCGAAAAAUAGUUUACUGUGUCACUCGUACCGAUAACCGCAUCAGGUCUUCUAGGUAAGUAGCCUAUGGCCAUUGAGGCAUGAUAGUUCAGGGAAUUCGGCCAAUUAGAGCUGUAACUUCGGGAUAAAGCUUGGCUCUGAUGAAAAUCAGAACCGAUUGUUACGCGGAGAGCCCAACUGUUUAAUAAAAACGUAGUGUCGCGCUGUGGUAGUAUAGCCAGUGAACGCGACAUGAAUCCUGCUCAGUGCUGUGUCUGUUAAUAUGGUUCAAGCCAACGAAGCACCGGUAAAUAGCUGGGGUAACUAUGACUCUUAUCAAAGUAGCGAAAUACCUCGUCACUUAAUUAGUGACCUGCAUGAACGGAGCUAUGAGGUUCUCACUGUCCCAAACUGUCUCUCUGCGAACCAACUGUAGUGGGAACGGUCACUAGAUAUCCAGCGGGGAAAGAAGACCCUGUAGAGCUUCACUUUGGUCUAGUCUUGUAUAGUUCCUGCGGGGGUGUAGACUAGGUGGGAGAGCAAUCGAUUCUGAAAAACCACUACCCUGUUUGGAAUUAUGCUUACCUAUCACAAGGAAUAGGACUAGAUAGAAAGUUUGGCUGGGGCGGCACACCUUCGAAAGAGCAGCGAAGGUGUCCUAAGUUGAGCUCAGUGAGGACAGAAAUCUCACGUUGAGGAUAAGGCCAAAAGCUCAAUUUACUGUGCCUUUUUGUACUAGGAUCAGUUACGAAAGUAAGGCCUAACGAUCCCUAAAUAGCCUCAGGUGCGUGAGGAUUGGGGUGACAGACAAGUUACCUCCGGGACAACUGGCUUGUGGCUGCUAAGAGAUCAAAUCAACGCAGCUUUUUGAUUCUUCGAUGUCGGCUCUUCCUAUCCUAGUGAUGUACAAGUUGCUAAGGGUCGGAUUGUUCACCCGUAUUAGGGAUCGUGAGCUGGGUUUAGACCGUCGUGAGCCAGGUUUGUUUUAUCCUACUGGAUAUAGCAUCAUGAUAGUAGAUUGAUUUAGUACGAGAGGAACUGUUGAUUAUGGCCUCUGGUUAGCGAUUAUCGGAAACGGUAUGUCGCGCAGCUACGCCGUCUGGGAUAAUGGCUGAAAGCCUCUUAAGCCAGAAGCCCAUCUAGAAAGUGAUGCACGUGAUGUUGGACCGAUACGAAUAAUCAUACUCAAAAGGUCCGCUUCAUAGGUAACCCAAUGUAGAAGACAUUGUGU
rnacentral:ncRNA from 2 species